GUGCUUGGCUUCUGUUCUAAUUCUAAGGUAACUGUCUAUAAAUGGUAAUGUAGGCUAAUGGCUUCGACUCUGAAUGGUAUAGGACUUCAGAAAAGAGAAAAUUCUGUAUAUCAAAGCAUUACACAAAGCUAUUUGAAUAAGGAAGAUUUUGUAUGUCAUCUUAAUAUAUGGGAAAUAAUUAAAUAGGUAGAGCAAAGAGCACUGGACUUAUUGUUAUAGGGAUACUAUAAAAUAUAUAAGUAAAUUUUAAUCAUACUAAUUAUUAUGGGCUAAAUUGUACCUCUGUCUUAGCACUGACCAAAAAAGAAAAGAAAAGAAAAAUGGAUAUUGUAAUUUCCAGUACUUCAGAAUGUGAAAAUAUGGCCAUUGCAGAUAUAAGAAUCUGAGAACGUCAUGCUGGAGCAGAGUGCAGCCCUACUCCAAAAUGAUGUGUUUCCAGAUAUGCACACAGUGGGAACAUCACAUAACAAGGAAGAUGAAGACUGAAUUCAUGAAGCUUCAAGUCAAAGAAUGCCAAAGAUUUCUUCUAGUAAACAACCUCAGCCUAGGAAGAAGAAAAUAGGGAUUCCUUUGUAGUUUUCAUAGGGCAUGAGUUUCCAACACCUGAAUUUUAAACAUUCAGAAUGGAGUUUUAAAACAAUUCUUCUGUUAAAACCACUCAGUUUGUGGUACUUUAUUAUAUCAGCCCUGGGAAACUUAUAUAUAAAUAAAGAAGACACUUUUAAUUAUUUAAGGAGGGAAGUGGGAUAGAAAGUCAUAAACAAACCCAAUAAUGGUAUUGACAACAUUGCUUAAACAUGUACAUAAUGGUUAGGUAUGAAUAUGCUUGUUAUAAUUGCAUCAAAUACUUACUCUGUAUUCUUUUGUUUCUGAGCAGCCUUUCUGCUUUCACCACCAUCUGCUGGGGUGUUCCAACACUGUAUUAUGUAAUCCAGGCCAACAAUAGCAACAUGGCGACCACAACUGGAGGGAUAUGAGAAAGUGCCCCAACCACAUUAGAUGUGUAUGAUUUGCUCAGGUGCUAGGAUAAGGUGUAUGAUUCUGGUCAACUGAUGGCUCUCCUCCCAGUGAAGAUUUGGGAAUUCACAGGUUUUUGUCAUGUUAUCUUCUUCUGAUCCCUUGGGGUCUAAUUUUUAUAUACAUCUGGUGAAUGAAUGGGAAAAGGACAUGGAGAGAAUCACAGGAGGAUUUCUGUUGUUCAGACUUAAAGCUGAAUUAUGGGAUACAUAAUUUCUGGUCAGAUCCACUGAUUAGAGCUGAAGUACAUGUUUACACCUCAUUCAAGGAAGUCUGGUAAAGGCAGGAUAGCUUUGUAUUGGGGGGGGAGAAGAAGGAGGCAGAGGAGGAGGAGAGGAAAGGGAGG
rnacentral:lncRNA from 1 species